rnacentral:rRNA from 1 species
UACGGAGGAUCCAAGCGUUAUCCGGAAUCAUUGGGUUUAAAGGGUCCGUAGGCGGUUUUUUAAGUCAGUGGUGAAAGCCCAUCGCUCAACGGUGGAACGGCCAUUGAUACUGCAAGACUUGAAUUAUUAGGAAGUAACUAGAAUAUGUAGUGUAGCGGUGAAAUGCUUAGAGAUUACAUGGAAUACCAAUUGCGAAGGCAGGUUACUACUAAUGGAUUGACGCUGAUGGACGAAAGCGUGGGUAGCGAACAGG